GGGGCCACCACAUAUACAAAUAUAACGUUACUAUAUAAACUUCCAUGACUUUACCCUUCCUUAUGUCUACAAAGCCUCUAGGAUAUACAUGACAUAACUAGGGUCGGGAUAAACCCCCGCCCACACAUGACUCAUGUACAAUAACAAAACAUAAGGAACCGACUCAGAAAGCUCCGAAGCAAACUGGAGCUCACCAACAAUAGUUGUAUGACCUGGCUCCUACUUGUGCGGUGUAUGAGCUGAGGUACCUGUGCCUGCAGCAUGAAAUGCAGGUCCCCCGUGAGGGACGUCAGUACGAAAUAUGUACUGAGUAUGUAAAGCUGUAAAUAAUCACAUAUGAUAUAGGAGCUCAAUAGAAAUCAGAAACAAGUGAAUAAGUCGUAAUAGGAGUGGACCACACUUACUAGAACUUGUGACAACCUGUACAUUGUAUUUAUUCAAUCACUUUACCUUCGUUCUUAUCGUCUUUGUAAUCAUUACUGUACUGUACUGUGACCAUUAGGAUGCCUCCAGUACAUAUCAACUGGGAUCGACCCAUGCUAGGCUUAUGCCCCUGGGAUACCACCCAUAAACACAUGAAAUAGGGAUCGACCCAUGCUAGGCUUAUGCCCCUGGGAUACCACCCGAUAAGAGAGAACUUUCAUCACUUAGUUCAAUUAAUCUUUGAGAUUGUUAUUUCGGUCGCCACCACAUUUUUGAUACUUUGAAACAAUGAUACAUCAAUAGGAACCAAGUAAUAGACCUUCUAUACAAUAACGAUGUAAUAAAGACUCAUUGGUACAUCAACAAUGUGUUUCAGAAUCAUCAAUAUCACAACAAUGAAAUAAGAGCCUUUUGGUAUAUCAAUGAAACAUUUUGACACUUUAUAGAAUGGAAACAACUUCGUUGGUAACGUAGAACAAUACAUGUUUUUGGACAACCUCGGAAUCUUACUUGAUGGAACAUUGGUGUUUUCAUGCCAAAGAACAUUGUUAGAGUAUGCUUUACAUACCUCGUUGUAGAUUCAGAUACCAAUUCAACACAACUUCCCGCCUUUACAAAUCACUUAUCUACAAUGAAAU
rnacentral:lncRNA from 1 species